GGGGGCACGUGUGUGUCCAGAACAGCUGACUCCUGACCCAGUGGUGGCUUCCUCACUGGCAAGGAGAGCGGGCCAGAGCUGACUGGGCUUCUUCCCUGGCCCCCUGGACAGCCCCAGACACCCCGGAUGGGCAAGGAACUCUGCAUGCUGCCAGUCUUGGACUCCAGGGCCCCGGCUGUUGCUGAGAAACAUGCAACUUCCACGACUGUGAUGCCCAUCACUGGUUGCAGGAAAACAAGCUCAGCUGCACCAAGGACCUGCCCUGGCUCCUGGGAACAACAAGUUUGGGGUGACAGCUGGCAACAGC